rnacentral:rRNA from 1 species
AGCUCCAAUAGCGUAUACUAACGUUGUUGCAGUUAAAAAGCUCGUAGUUGGAUUUCUGAUUGUGGUUGGAUGUAUUGAUGACACUGUCGUCAGACACCAUACUACGAUCAAAACAUGUGAUGACUGGGUAUGGUUGAUUCAUUUUGAUCUGCCUAUAAAUCGCUCGUUUACUUUGAGAAAAUUAGAGUGUUCAAAGCAGGCAUUGUGCUUGAAUAUGUUAGCAUGGAAUAAUAGCAUAGGACUUCAUGUUCUACUUGUUGGUUGUCCCGAGAACUAGAGUAAUGAUUGAUAGGGACGGUUGGGGGCAUCCGUAUUCUCAAGCGAGAGGUGAAAUUCUUGGACCUUGGGAAGACGAACAGCUGCGAAAGCGUUUGCCUAGGACGUUCUCUUUAAUCAAGACGAAGUUAGGACACGCUGAACU